rnacentral:rRNA from 1 species
UACGUAGGGUGCAAGCGUUGUCCGGAAUUAUUGGGCGUAAAGAGCUCGUAGGCGGUUUGUCGCGUCUGCUGGUGAAAAUCCAGGGCUUAACCCUGGACCUGCAGUGGGUACGGGCAGACUAGAGUGCGGUAGGGGAGAUCGGAAUUCCUGGUGUAGCGGUGAAAUGCGCAGAUAUCAGGAGGAACAGCCGGUGGCGAAGGCGGAUCUCUGGGCCGUAACUGACGCUGGAGGAGCGGAAAGCAUGGGGAGCGAACAG